GUUAUGGAGUGGUUUUAGAUGGGCUCACGGCCUAUCAGCUUGUUGGUGAGGUAAUGGCUUACCAAGGCGACGACGGGUAGCCGGCCUGAGAGGGUGACCGGCCACACUGGGACUGAGACACGGCCCAGACUCCUACGGGAGGCAGCAGUGGGGAAUAUUGCACAAUGGGCGCAAGCCUGAUGCAGCGACGCCGCGUGAGGGAUGACGGCCUUCGGGUUGUAAACCUCUGUUAGCAUCGAAGAAGCGAAAGUGACGGUAGGUGCAGAGAAAGCGCCGGCUAACUACGUGCCAGCAGCCGCGGUAAUACGUAGGGCGCGAGCGUUGUCCGGAAUUAUUGGGCGUAAAGAGCUUGUAGGCGGUUGGUCGCGUCUGCUGUGAAAGGCUGGGGCUUAACCCUGGUUUUGCAGUGGGUACGGGCUAACUAGAGUGCAGUAGGGGAGACUGGAAUUCCUGGUGUAGCGGUGGAAUGCGCAGAUAUCAGGAGGAACACCGAUGGCGAAGGCAGGUCUCUGGGCUGUAACUGACGCUGAGAAGCGAAAGCAUGGGGAGCGAACAGGAUUAGAUACCCUGGUAGUCCAUGCCGUAAACGUUGGGCACUAGGUGUGGGGGACAUUCCACGUUUUCCGCGCCGUAGCUAACGCAUUAAGUGCCCCGCCUGG
rnacentral:rRNA from 1 species